AAUAGAUACCCAGGUAGUCCACGCCCUAAACGAUGUCUACUAGUUGUCGGGGAUUAAUUUCCUUGGUAACGCAGCUAACGCGGGAAGUAGACCGCCUGGGGAGUACGGUCGCAAGAUUAAAACUCAAAGGAAUUGACGGGGACCCGCACAAGCGGUGGAUGAUGUGGAUUAAUUCGAUGCAACGCGAAAAACCUUACCUACGCUUGACAUGUCCGGAAUCCUGCAGAGAUGUGGGAGUGCCCGAAAGGGAGCCGGAACACAGGUGCUGCAUGGCUGUCGUCAGCUCGUGUCGUGAGAUGUUGGGUUAAGUCCCGCAACGAGCGCAACCCUUAUCAUUAGUUGCUACGCAAGGGCACUCUAAUGAGACUGCCGGUGACAAACCGGAGGAAGGUGGGGAUGACGUCAAGUCCUCAUGGCCCUUAUGCGUAGGGCUUCACACGUCAUACAAUGGUCGGUACAGAGGGCUGCCAACCCGCGAGGGGGAGCCAAUCCCAUAAAACCGAUCGUAGUCCGGAUUGCAGUCUGCAA
rnacentral:rRNA from 1 species